UCUGGCAGUGAUGACCCACUUGCCCUCACUGAGAGCACCGUUCGAUAAUGAGAGCCUCACCGCGUACUCAGGUGGGCUGAGCCAGG